rnacentral:rRNA from 1 species
UACGAAGGGGGCUAGCGUUGUUCGGAAUUACUGGGCGUAAAGCGCGCGCAGGCGGUCUUCCAAGUCAGUGGUGAAAGCCCGGAGCUCAACUCCGGAACUGCCAUUGAAACUGUUGGACUUGAGUAUGAGAGAGGUGAGUGGAAUUCCCGGUGUAGAGGUGAAAUUCGUAGAUAUCGGGAGGAACACCAGUGGCGAAGGCGGCGACCUGGGCCAAUAUUGACGCUGAGGUGCGAAAGCGUGGGGAGCAAACAGGG